rnacentral:rRNA from 1 species
GAUGAACGCUAGCGAUAGGCUUAACACAUGCAAGUCGAGGGGCAACAUGGGCUUAUCUUGCUAAGACUGAUGGCUACCGGCGCACGGGUGCGUAACGCGUAUGCUACUUGCCUCACAGAGGGGGAUAACCCGUCCAAAGACGGACUACUACCGCGUACACUCUAUGUUGGGCAUCCGAUGUAGAGGAAAUGAACUUCCCUGUGAGAUAGGCAUGCCUCCCAUUAACUAGUUGGUGAGGGAACGCGCUCACCCAGGCGACAAUGGCUAGGGCAACUGAGAGGUUGAACCCCCACACUGGUACUGAGACACGGACCACACUCCUACGGGAGGCAGCAGUGAGGAAUAUUGGCCAAUGGGCAAGAGCCUGAACCAGACAAGUCGCGUGAAAGAUGACUGUCUUAUGGAUUGUAAACUUCUUUUAUACGGAAAUAACAAGAGUCACGUGUGGCUCCCUGCAUGUACCGUAUGAAUAAGCAUCGGCUAACUCCGUGCCACCAGCCGCGGUAAUACGGAAGAUGCGAGCGUUAUCCGGAUUUAUUGUGUUUAAAGGGUGCGUAGGCCGCCUGUUAAGUCAUCAGUGAAAUCUAGGAGCUUAACUCCUAAAUUGCCAUUGAUACUGACGGUGUUGAGUGUAGAUGAGAUAGGCGUAACACGUGGUGUAGCGAUAGAAUGCAUAGAUAUCACGCACAACUCCGAUUGCGAAGGCAGCUUACUAAGGUACAACUGACGCUGAAGCACGAAAGCGGGGGUAUCAAACAGGAUUAGAUACCCUGGUAGUCCACGCAGUAAACGAUGAUAACUGGGCGUAUGCGAUAUACAGUAUGCUCCUAAGCGAAAGCGUUAAGUUAUCCACCUGGGGAGUACGCCGGGCAACGGUGAAACUCAAAGGAAUUGACGGGGGCCCGCACAAGCGGAGGAACAUGUGGUUUAAUUCGAUGAUACGCGAGGAACCUUACCCGGGAUUGAAAUGUACAUGACCGCUCCUGAAAGGGAGUUUUCCUUCGGGACAUCUAUGUAGGUGCUGCAUGGUUGUCGUCCGCUCGUGCCGUGAGGUGUCGGCUUAAGUGCCAUAACGAGCGCAACCCCUGUCUACGGUUGCCAUCAGGUGAUGCUGGGAACUCCGUAGAGACUGCCGUCGUAAGGCGUGAGGAAGGUGGGGAUGACGUCAAAUCAUCACGGCCCUUACAUCCGGGGCGACACACGUGUUACAAUGGUAAGGACAAAGGGCAGCUACCUGGCGACAGGAUGCGAAUCUCUAAACCUUAUCACAGUUCGGAUCGGAGUCUGCAACUUGACUCCGUGAAGCUGGAUUCGCUAGUAAUCGCGCAUCAUCCAUGGCGCGGUGAAUACGUUCCCGGGCCU